rnacentral:tRNA from 1 species
UCCCAGUUAGUAUAGUGGUCAGUAUCCCCGCCUGUCACGCGGGAGACCGGGGUUCGAUUCCCCGACUGGGAG